GGCCCCGUGGCGCAGUUGGUUAGCGUGCCGCCCUGUCACGGCGGAGGUCGCGGGUUCAAGUCCCGUCGGGGUCG
rnacentral:tRNA from 1 species